UCAAGGUACUCAGUGCUCAUUUGCUAAAGAACAAAGUGCAUAGUGCUGAGGAACAGAAAUUAAGAGUGAGAGAAAUACUGCAGCCCACAAGUCGUGUAAAUUACAACAGAGGACGACCAUUAAAAUUCUGUCCCUGUCACCGAACCGGAGUGAGAAGUGGUCUGAUGGGAGUAAAGGCACAAGAGAACACAGCUUGGAUCCAAGAGCAAGCCAUUUUCAUAUGGAUUGAUGCAGUUUUUGCCAUUAGUAACAAUGGAAAAACUUGCCAGGCACCAUGACUGGGCUUUCCAGCACUGGUCUAGUUCGUACAUGGUCACAGUUCGCACACGAGCAGCGAAGGUCAUCAGGCACCGGGAGGUGAAUGAGUAGAGUCCGGCCAGAGGCGUGGCGGUAGAGGAAGAGCAUCCCGAUAGUUUUACAGCAGGAGCGAUGACCCUUGCUUUGUUUCUGCAGGUAAUGACCUUUUGCUCAAUUACACCACAAGUUUCACGUACGCUCUUUCAUCCUCUACUUAUUAUGGACCACAUAAAAAAAGGCCCCUUCAGAACGAAAGUCUGAUAAAGCAUCAGCGAUGGGCAGAAGC